GACGAACGCUGGCGGCGUGCCUAAUACAUGCAAGUUGAGCGCUGAAGGUUGGUACUUGUACCGACUGGAUGGGCAGCGAACGGGUGAGUAACGCGUGGGGAAUCUGCCUUUGAGCGGGGGACAACAUUUGGAAACGAAUGCUAAUACCGCAUAAAAACUUUAAACACAAGUUUUAAGUUUGAAAGAUGCAAUUGCAUCACUCAAAGAUGAUCCCGCGUUGUAUUAGCUAGUUGGUGAGGUAAAGGCUCACCAAGGCGAUGAUACAUAGCCGACCUGAGAGGGUGAUCGGCCACAUUGGGACUGAGACACGGCCCAAACUCCUACGGGAGGCAGCAGUAGGGAAUCUUCGGCAAUGGACGAAAGUCUGACCGAGCAACGCCGCGUGAGUGAAGAAGGUUUUCGGAUCGUAAAACUCUGUUGGUAGAGAAGAACGUUGGUGAGAGUGGAAAGCUCAUCAAGUGACGGUAACUACCCAGAAAGGGACGGCUAACUACGUG
rnacentral:rRNA from 1 species